rnacentral:lncRNA from 1 species
AAAGCUUCUGGGAAGGAUGAUCUAUUUUAUGAUGCCUCAAAGUUUCAGAAUGACUGUAGCCCCCCUCACCUCCUCUGGGCUGAACACCAUCAUCUAGCCUCUGACACUCGGGUCUGGAGACAGAGGGGGUUGAGGGGGAGGCAAUUGCAGCUGGCAGGAACCUUGCUUUUCAAGAACCUGGACCCCAGGACAACUCUGGUUGAGGCUCCCCAAGUCCCUCAAGGCCCCCUGGCCCUAAUCAAUCAAAGAAGAAAAGAUGCAUUAGAAUCUGUUGCUUUCAGCCUCUUGGUUAGUGAGACGGAAGCAAACCAUCGAUACGCACUGCUAUCUGGCUUCCUCUGUGGAAAGUGCAGAUAGAGAUCUCAAGGGUCCUGUUUGCUGAGACCACACUCUCAGGCACCUCUCAAUUCGGAUCAGCCACAUUUCCUGUGCUAGACAGCUAGAGCUGUGUACCUGACCUGUGAAGAGAGAAGAGAAUCAAGGCUUUCAGGGGAGAAGACUUCCCCCUGGUGGACAAAAGUGGAAAGUACAUGGGAGACUGAAGCAACUGGCUGAGCCCCGACCGGACAGGGAAGGUAAGCAAAGGAGGAUGAGAGAAGAGGUCGGGAAUUCAUUCAUCCUCCUCCAGCACCAUGGGGUUUUCACGACAUCUAGUCAACGUCUCAAUUCCCCCGGAAAUGUCUUUGGAUAGUGACCUAUCACAUCCAUUUCCUUGAUUCAAUAAUCAUGUAUGAUUUUGGCAUCGUAUGUACAGUGAGGGCCUGUGGGGACAGCACCCAAAUCAGAGAAGCAGCUCGAGGCCAGGCUCCUGAGGAAUUUGGGAGUGAGAACUGAUGGCAGACUCGCUGCCAGGAAGAGCCUGAGCGUGGACCAUCCUUUGAAGGAAUGUUGCGGUGAAGGCGAGGGGCAUACCAGACUCGAGGGUGUGUUAAAUGGGGAAAAGAGUUUUGGACAACAAUACAGGCUGCAGAGCAAUUGUCGUGAUCAGAUCAAAGGAAUCAGAGGCAUUCGAGAGGGGGCAGAGCAGAGCUGGUUAGGGCAACACACUCUGGAGCCCGCUUCACUGCUUCCUGGCUGAGAGACUUCGGACAAGUCACUUCCCUCCCUGUGCCUCAGUUCCCUCAUCGGUAUAACGUCGGUAAUAAUAGUACCUGCCUCCUGUGUUUGCGGUGUGAUGAGCUGUGUUUGUGUUGAGGAUUGAUUCUCUUUUUCAAAAUAACAUAUGUCAAAUGCUUAGAAUGGACAUAAGAAAAUGCCACGUAUUCGCUAUUAUGAUUACAGGAAUUCCUUUAGACGGCAACAUUUUCUCUGAGUGCUCACACAGAGGUCAGCCUUUUCCCAGCGAGCUGAGGUUCAAG